rnacentral:rRNA from 1 species
GAUGAACGCUAGCGGCAGGCUUAAUACAUGCAAGUCGUGGGGCAGCAUGAGUGUAGCAAUACAUUUGAUGGCGACCGGCAAACGGGUGCGGAACACGUACACAACCUUCCUAUAAGUGGGGAAUAGCCCAGAGAAAUUUGGAUUAAUACCCCGUAACAUAACGAUGUGGCAUCACAUCGUUAUUAUAGCUUCGGCGCUUAUUGAUGGGUGUGCGGCUGAUUAGAUAGUUGGCGGGGUAACGGCCCACCAAGUCUACGAUCAGUAGCUGAUGUGAGAGCAUGAUCAGCCACACGGGCACUGAGACACGGGCCCGACUCCUACGGGAGGCAGCAGUAAGGAAUAUUGGUCAAUGGACGCAAGUCUGAACCAGCCAUGCCGCGUGAAGGAUUAAGGCCCUCUGGAUUGUAAACUUCUUUUAUCUGGGACGAAAAAAGGCUUUUCUAAGUCACUUGACGGUACCAGAUGAAUAAGCACCGGCUAACUCCGUGCCAGCAGCCGCGGUAAUAC